UUUUUAGUAGAAGUAUGUUCCAUGCAGUAUUUGGGACAUACUUCUACUUUAA
rnacentral:pre_miRNA from 1 species